rnacentral:rRNA from 1 species
ACUACAUGAAGCUGGAAUCGCUAGUAAUCGCGAAUCAGAAUGUCGCGGUGAAUACGUUCCCGGGUCUUGUACACACCGCCCGUCACACCAUGGGAGUCGGAAAUGCCCGAAGCCUGUGACCCAACCGAGAGGAGGGAGCAGUCGAAGGUGGAGCCGGUGACUGGGGUGAAGUCGUAACAAGGUAGC